GUAUAAGAGACAGCAGCCGCCGCGGUAAUACAGAGGGUGCGAGCGUUAAUCGGAUUUACUGGGCGUAAAGCGUGCGUAGGCGGCUUCUUAAGUCGGAUGUGAAAUCCCUGAGCUUAACUUAGGAAUUGCAUUCGAUACUGGGAAGCUAGAGUAUGGGAGAGGAUGGUAGAAUUCCAGGUGUAGCGGUGAAAUGCGUAGAGAUCUGGAGGAAUACCGAUGGCGAAGGCAGCCAUCUGGCCUAAUACUGACGCUGAGGUACGAAAGCAUGGGGAGCAAACAGGAUUAGAUACCCGCGUAGUCCCUGUCUCUUAUAC
rnacentral:rRNA from 1 species